rnacentral:rRNA from 1 species
GACGAACGCUGGCGGCGCGCUUAACACAGGCAAGUCGAGCGAGAACCGGCCUUCAGGCCGGGGAAAGCGGCGAACGGGUGAGUAACACGUGGGUAAUCUGCCCUCGGCACCGGGAUAGCCCGGGGGAACCCGGAUUAAUACCGGAUGGCCCUUUGAGUCCUCCGAUUCAAAGGAAAAGGUAGCUUCGGCCUCCGGCCGAGGAUGAGCCCGCGGCGGAUUAGCUUGUUGGUGGGGUAACGGCCUACCAAGGCGACGAUCCGUAGCUGGUCUGAGAGGACGAUCAGCCACACUGGGACUGAGAAACGGCCCAGACUCCUACGGGAGGCAGCAGUGGGGAAUCUUGCGCAAUGGGCGAAAGCCUGACGCAGCGACGCCGCGUGAGGGAAGAAGGCCUUCGGGUUGUAAACCUCUCUCAGGAGGGACGAAGCCACUCGGGUUAAUAGCCCAGAGGGUGACGGUACCUCCAGAAGAAGCCCCGGCUAACUACGUGCCAGCCGCCGCUGUAACAC